rnacentral:pre_miRNA from 1 species
UGGGGCACGAUUUGUACCGACUCUUGGCUAGGUUUUACUGAAACUACUUUGAGUCGGUACGAAUCCUCUCCC